AUUUCCAAACGCCUGAAGGCCCAGGACAGCGCCGACAUCCCACAAUGCAACACGUUCCACAGGGGUAAAGUGCGCCUGCGACCUCAGCUCUUCCUCUUUGGACCGACGUCUCCUCAGCAACAAUGGCUAAGCGCACCAAGAAGGUGGGGAUUGUGGGUAAAUAUGGCACACGUUACGGCGCGUCGCUCAGGAAGAUGGUGAAGAAGAUUGAGAUCAGCCAGCACGCCAAGUACACCUGCUCCUUCUGUGGCAAGACGAAGAUGAAGAGGAGGGCUGUUGGUAUCUGGCACUGUGGGUCCUGCAUGAAGACUGUUGCUGGAGGUGCCUGGACAUACAA